GACGAACGCUGGCGGCGUGCCUAAUACAUGCAAGUCGAACGCAGUGGGGACGGUUUAGUAACACGUGGGUAACCUCCCAUCAGAGGGGAUAACACUUGGAAACACGUGCUAAACCGAUAUUGAUUGAUGGACCCGCGGGGCAUUAGCUAGUGGGUGGGGUAACGGCUCACCAAGGCCACGAUGCAUAGCCGACCUGAGAGGGUGAUCAGCCACACUGGGACUGAGACACGGCCCAGACUCCUACGGGAGGCAGCAGUGGGGAAUCUUGGGCAAUGGACGAAAGCCUGACGGAGCAACGCCGCGUGAGUGAAGAAGGUUUUCGGGUCGUAAAGCUCUGUUGUUAGAGAAGCGGUAUCUAACCAGAAAGCAACGGCUAACUACGUGCCAGCAGCCGCGGUAAUUC
rnacentral:rRNA from 1 species